rnacentral:rRNA from 1 species
GGCCAGCAUCAGUUUGAGUGGUUAGAUAAAGGCUUAGAGAAUGUGGCAUCUUCGGAUGUGUUAUAGCUCUGGGUCACAUACAUCGGCUGGGACUGAGGAACUCAGCACGCCGCAAGGCCGGGUUUCGACCACGUUCGUGCUUAGGAUGCUGGCAUAAUGGCUUUAAUCGA